UACGUAGGGGGCAAGCGUUGUCCGGAAUCAUUGGGCGUAAAGAGCGUGUAGGCGGCUCGGUAAGUCCGCUGUGAAAGUCCAGGGCUCAACCCUGGAAAGCCGGUGGAAACUGUCGAGCUUGAGUCCGGAAGAGGCGAGUGGAAUUCCUGGUGUAGCGGUGAAAUGCGCAGAUAUCAGGGGGAACACCAAUGGCGAAGGCAGCUCGCUGGGACGGUACUGACGCUGAGACGCGAAAGCGUGGGGAGCAAACAGG
rnacentral:rRNA from 1 species